ensembl:lincRNA Gm43356 predicted gene 43356
CUGAGGUUUCAGGCACCUGUCUCUGGGAAGGUGGCUCGCUGUUCCAUCCCUUGUAGAGUUUUCUACUGGGUCUCCGGUGCAAGCUUCACUCAACCAAAACAGGCUGUCUUUCACGGUCCCACAGCAUACCACCUUGCUGGGAUCAAAAAGGGCUCUUCACUUUUGUUUAGGAUUAAGUUAAUUCACCUUGAGACAUUAUUCUUUACAGUGUGGCUCUUGAAAUAUGCUACAUUCACACUGAGUAAGAUCUGUUUUGAGCCAGUCUUUGAAGUCUGACCCAUCUGCAUGCUUACCCAGUAUAUGUGCAUACCAGGAGCUUCUGGUAGGCUCUUGGGAAAAGCAACUGUUUUCUCACUGUCUUCUUGACUAUUUUCUCCAUUCUAGUGUCAACUCCUCUCCAAUCAACAUACGGCUGCAGGACUUCAAGGCUAAGGCAGCAAGAAAAGAAAUCCUUCCAUAUUCAAGUAUUUGAUUUGGAAUUUGAUGUACAGUAUUUCUCAAGUUGAAAAAAAAAAAUCUAACAAACUAACAAACAGACAUAUUGGCUGGGGGUUGGCUACACCUUAUCCUCAAUGCAAUCCUACAAGAUUAAUCAAACAGAAGAAUUUG